CCUACGUGCGGCAGCAGUGAGGAAUAUUGGUCAAUGGGCUUACGCCUGAACCAGCCAAGUCGCGUGAGGGAAGACUGCCCUAUGGGUUGUAAACCUCUUUUGUCAGGGAGCAACGCCGGCUACGUGUAGCCGGACUGAGAGUACCUGAAGAAAAAGCAUCGGCUAACUCCGUGCCAGCAGCCGCGGUAAUACGGAGGAUGCGAGCGUUAUCCGGAUUUAUUGGGUUUAAAGGGUGCGUAGGCGGAAUGCCAAGUCAGCGGUAAAAUCGCGGGGCUCAACCUCGCUCCGCCGUUGAAACUGGCGUUCUUGAGUGGGCGAGAAGUAUGCGGAAUGCGUGGUGUAGCGGUGAAAUGCAUAGAUAUCACGCAGAACUCCGAUUGCGAAGGCAGCAUACCGGCGUCCAACUGACGCUGAAGCACGAAAGCGUGGGUAUCGAACAGGAUUAGAUACCCCAGUAGUC
rnacentral:rRNA from 1 species